UCCCCGUUACCGAGGCAGUCUCGUUAGAUAUAUCCAACUAACGACAAGGGUUGCGCUCGUUUAAGGACUUAACCUGACAUCUCACGACACGAGCUGACGACGGCCAUGCAUCACCUGUCACUGGUCCAGCCGAACUGACUGUUUUGUUUCCAAAACGUACGACCAGGAUGUCAAAUCUGGGUAAGGUUCUUCGCGUAGCCUCGAAUUAAACCACACGCUCCACCGCUUGUGCGGGUCCCCGUCAAUUCCUUUGAGUUUUAGCCUUGCGGCCGUACUCCCCAGGCGGGAUGCUUAACGCGUUAGCUUCGCUACCGAGAGGGUCGAUACUCCCAACAGCUAGCAUCCAUCGUUUACGGCGUGGACUAC
rnacentral:misc_RNA from 1 species